UCUCUGUAUCCGCUAAUCAUGUUUCGCUUUGGGCGGGCUCGACACGCAACAUACCAUUAGAAAAAUACAUCCUGACUGGAAGUGUUUGACAUGAGGAUAGAGGCAACUGUCAGUCUGAGACGUCAAUAGAUUCACGAAGACGGAAACUGUACAAAAAUGUCAACAAAGGACGUAUUUGUCAGAUGCCGAAUCUGAUUUUGGGUAUUGUCGCGGCUGUCCAUUUCCAAACGGAAACCACAGCUAGCUUCUGUACUGGACAGCAAGCACCCGCUAGCCAGUUAGCUUAUUCUCGAUUCCAGGACACGUCUCUUCAUUUAAAAUACAAAACUGAAUGUUGUUUCAGUCAUGAGUCCAGCCGGGUGCUCACAUGUGAACGCUUAUAAGGUGGACAAUUGGAGGCAAAACCUACGAGUCAUAUAUCAAUGCUUUGUUUGGAGCGGGAGUGCUGAAGCGAGGAGACGAAAGGUGCUUCAGAAUGAUGUGAGAUGGACAGCAUUGGCCAAAUCAUGUAUAUGUCACAUGUGCGGCGCCCACCUGAACCGGCUCCACUCCUGUCUCUCCUGCGUCUUCUUCGGCUGCUUCACCAAGAAACACAUCCACGAGCACGCCAAAAACAAACGACACAAUCUAGCAAUAGACUUAUUAUAUGGUGGAAUAUAUUGUUUUGUGUGUCAAGACUACAUAUACGACAAAGAGAUGGAACAGAUUGCCAAAGAAGAACAGAGGAAAGCCUGGAAAUUGCAAGGUGUAGGGGAGAAAUACUCGACGUGGGAGCCUACGAAGCGAGAGUUGGAGUUAUUACGGCACAAUCCAAAGCGAAGGAAAAUCACUACAAACUGCACCAUCGGUUUACGAGGGUUGAUCAACCUGGGCAACACGUGCUUCAUGAACUGCAUCGUCCAGGCCCUCACCCACACCCCGCUGCUGCGUGACUUCUUCCUGUCCGACAGGCACAAGUGUGAGAUGCAGUCCAACUCCUGUCUGGUGUGUGAGAUGUCACAGCUCUUUCAGGAGUUCUACUCGGGCCACCGUUGGCCCCACAUUCCCUUCCGGCUGCUGCACCUGGUGUGGACUCACGCACGUCACUUAGCGGGCUACGAGCAACAGGAUGCCCACGAGUUCCUCAUCGCAGCGCUGGACGUGCUGCACCGCCACUGUAAAGGAGACACCGCCCGAGACGACAACGGGAAGAAGGCCAACAAUCCAAACCACUGUAGCUGCAUCAUUGACCAAAUUUUCACUGGCGGCCUCCAAUCAGACGUCACCUGUCAAGUCUGCCACGGUGUGUCCACCACGAUAGACCCAUUCUGGGACAUCAGUCUGGACCUGCCGGGCUCGUCCACUCCCUUCUGGCCCCUUAGCCCCGGGGGAGACGGCUCAACAGUCAACGGAGAGAGCCACCUUUCAGGGGCCACCACGCUCACAGACUGUCUACGCAGGUUCACUCGGCCUGAGCAUCUAGGAAGCAGUGCCAAAAUCAAAUGUGGCGGUUGCCAUAGUUACCAGGAGUCCACCAAACAGCUGACGAUGAAGAAGCUCCCCAUCGUGGCGUGUUUCCACCUCAAACGGUUUGAACACUCUGCCAAACUGAGGAGGAAGAUCACCACCUACGUCUCCUUCCCUCUAGAGCUGGACAUGACACCUUUCAUAGCUUCCAGUAAGGAGAGCAGGAUGAAUGGCCAGUAUCAACAGACAGUAGAAGUAUUAAACAACGACAAUAAGUAAGUAUGUUGAUGUUUAUUCUGUUAUGGUAAACAACGUAUCACCAGUAAACAGCACCAGAUCUGGCUUCAAGUAAGGUUGAAAUGCUGUUUAAACCUUUGAUCUGUCUGGGCUUGAUUGAGCUUUGCCUUGCACAAUGGAACCAAGAAAAUAGUUGAAAAGUGCAAACAUGUCCCACCUAGCACUCCAGACGAGCUAAAACAAACGCUGAAACAUGGCCCACCUAGCACUCCAGACGAGCUAAAACAAACGCUGAAACAUGUCCCACCUAGCACUCCAGACGAGCUAAAACAAACGCUGAAACAUGGCCCACCUAGCACUCCAGACGAGCUAAAACAAACGCUGAAACAUGGCCCACCUAGCACUCCAGACGAGCUAAAACAAACGCUGAAACAUGUCCCACCUAGCACUCCAGACGAGCUAAAACAAACGCUGAAACAUGGCCCACCUAGCACUCCAGACGAGCUAAAACAAACGCUGAAACAUGGCCCACCUAGCACUCCAGACGAGCUAAAACAAACGCUGAAACAUGGCCCACCUAGCACUCCAGACGAGCUAAAACAAACGCUGAAACAUGUCCCACCUAGCACUCCAGACGAGCUAAAACAACCGCUGAAACACGGCCCACCUAGCACUCCAGACGAGCUAAAACAACCGCUGAAACAUGGCCCACCUAGCACUCCAGACGAGCUAAAACAACCGCUGAAACAUGGCCCACCUAGCACUCCAGACGAGCUAAAACAAACGCUGAAACAUGGCCCACCUAGCACUCCAGACGAGCUAAAACAAACGCUGAAACAUGGCCCACCUAGCACUCCAGACGAGCUAAAACAAACGCUGAAACAUGGCCCACCUAGCACUCCAGACGAGCUAAAACAAACACUGAAACAUGUCCCACCUAGCACUCCAGACGAGCUAAAACAACCGCUGAAACAUGUCCCACCUAGCACUCCAGACGAGCUAAAACAACCGCUGAAAGGAUUUCACAUUUCCACUAGUAUUUGAAGCCUGGUCUGAAUAACACCUUAUUCUAAUGUUGAUGGGUUUCCAUGUCUGCCGUUUGUCAUUUAUUUGAGAACGAAAGCACAGAAAAAAUGCUAGAUUCAUCUCAUUGUUUCCAUUCUAGCGCAACAGCGAAUGCUAACGGCGUGGAGCUUCCUAGUCCGACUCCCAAAUGAAAUCAAUUUAAACACUAUUAAAUGUAGCUCCAUUAUUCUCCUCCAUGGCGGUUACACUGGCAUUCAUUAUCCCAGACAUUUACCAGGGUUAAAUGGAUCCGUGUUAUACAGGACCAUGUCUAGUUGGUACUUUGACUGGAGUACUAAGGACAAGAGUGUUCAUCACCAUGGUCCCUGUGACUGUUUUGAUGGAUUGGAUAUAGGCCAUUGACUGUCCCUCUGACUCGUUGACAUGGUCAGAGAAAUGGAUGUGUAAACUAAGAGGAAUAGGUGAAGCCAGAAUAAUCAGGUGAAGUUAAUAUAUACCACCAGCUGUGAUAUAAAGUACUUUAAGUCAGCCUCACUUCCUUCUCCACUGUCUCUCUGUGUGUGUGUUGUGGUGGACCAGGUAUUCUCUGUGUGUGUGUUGUGGUGGACCAGGUAUUCUCUGUGUGUGUGUUGUGGUGGACCAGGUAUUCUCUGUGUGUGUGUUGUGGUGGACCAGGUAUUCUCUGUUUAACUGUCCACUGUCGCUGUGUGUAUGUGUUGUGGUGGACCAGGUAUUCUCUGUUUAACUGUCCACUGUCUCUGUGUGUGUGUUGUGGUGGACCAGGUAUUCUCUGUAUAACUGUCCACUGUGUGUGUGUGUUGUAGAGGUCGACCCAUUAUGAUUUUUCAACGCCGAUGCCGAUUAUUGGAGGACCAAAAAAAGCUGAUGCCGAUUAAUCGGCCAAUUUAAAUAAUUAAUUAAAAAAAUAUAUAUAUAUAUAUAUAUAUAUAUAAGAAUUUUUUUAUUUGUAAUAAUGACAAUUACAACAAUACUGAAUGAACACUUAUUUUAACUUAAUACAAUACAUCAAUAAAAUCAAUUUAGCCUCAAAUAAAUAAUGAAACAUGUUCAAUUUGGUUUAAAUAAUGUAAAAACACAGUGUUGUAAGUAAAAGUGCAAUAUGUUCCUUGCUCAGAACAUGAGAACAUAUGAAAGCUGGUCGUUCCUUUUAACAUGAGUCUGAAAUAUUCCCAGGUAAGAAGGUUUAGGUUGUAGUUAUUAUAGGAAUUAUAGGACUAUUUCUCUUUAUACGAUUUGUAUUUCAUAUACCUUUGACUAUUGGAUGUUCUUAUAGGCACUUUAGUAUUGCCAGUGUAACAGUAUAGAUUCUGUCCCUCUCCUCGCUCCUCCCUGGGCUCGAACCAGGAACACAUCGACAACAGCCACCCUCGAAGCAGCGUUACCCAUGCAGAGCAAGGGGAACAACUACUCCAAGUCUCAGAGCGAGUGAAGUUUGAAACGCUAUUAGCGCACAUCGGUUACACCAGCCUAAUCUCGGUAGUUGAUAGGCUUGAAGUCAUCAACAGUGCUUGAAGUACAGCGACGAUCUGCUGGUAAAACGCUCAAAAGUGCCGUUUGAAUUAAUGUUUACGAGCCUGCUGCUUUCUACCACCGCUCAGUCAGACUGCUCUAUCAAAUCAUAGACUUAAUUAUAACAUAAUAACACACACAAAUACGAGCCUUGGGUCAUUAACAUGGUCGAAUCCGGAAACUAUCAUCAUACAGAACCGUUCUGUAUUUUAUCUAAUGGGUGGCAUCCCUAAGUCUAAAUAUUGCUGUUACAUUGCACAACCUUCAAUGUUAUGUCAUAAUUACGUAACAUUCUGGCAAAUUAGUUCGCAACGAGCCAGGCGGCCCAAACUGUUGCAUAUACCCUGACUCUGUUGCAAGAGAAGUGACAACAUUUUUCCAAGGUAAAUUAAAUUAAUGUUAGCAGGCAAUAUUAACUAAAUAUGCAGGUUUAAAAAUAUAUACUUGUGUAUUGAUUUUAAGAAAGGCAUUGAUGUUUAUGGUUAGGUACACGUUGGAACAACAACAGUCCUUUUUGUGAAUGCCACCGCAUCAAUUAUAUGCAACGCAGGACGCAGGACACACUAGAUAAACUAGUAAUAUCAACCAUGUGUAGUUAUAACUAGUGAUUAGUAUUGAUUGAUUCAUUGUUUUUUAUAAGAUAAGUUUAAUGCUAGCUCGCAACUUACCUUGGUUUGCUGCAUUCGCGUAACAGGCAGGUUCCUCGUGGAGUGCAAUGUAAUCAGGUUAGAGCGUCAGGUUGCAAGAUUGAAUCCCCGGGCUGACAAGGUAAAAAUCUGUUGUUCUGCCCCUGAACAAGGCAGUUAACCCACUGUUCCUAGGCCGUCAUUGAAAAUAAGAAUGUGUUCUUAACUGACUUGCCUAGUUAAAUAAAGAUUCAAUAAAGGUGUAAAUAAAAAGGAAAAUCGGUGUCCAAAAAUACAGAUUUCCGAAUGUUAAUUAAUCGGUCGACCUCUAGUGUGUUGUGGUGGAGCAGGUAUUCUCUGUUCAACUGUCUGUGUGUUGUGGUGGACCAGGUAUUCUCUGUUUAACUGUCUGUGUGUUGUGGUGGAGCAGGUAUUCUCUGUUUAACUGUCUGUGUGUUGUGGUGGAGCAGGUAUUCUCUGUUUAACUGUCUGUGUGUUGUGGUGGAGCAGGUAUUCUCUGUUCAACUGUCUGUGUGUUGUGGUGGAGCAGGUAUUCUCUGUUUAACUGUCUGUGUGUUGUGGUGGAGCAGGUAUUCUCUGUUUAACUGUCUGUGUGUUGUGGUGGAGCAGGCAUUCUCUGUUUAACUGUCUGUGUGUUGUGGUGGACCAGGUAUUCUCUGUUUAACUGUCUGUGUGUUGUGGUGGACCAGGUAUUCUCUGUUUAACUGUCUGUGUGUUGUGGUGGACCAGGUAUUCUCUGUUUAACUGUCUGUGUGUUGUGGUGGACCAGGUAUUCUCUGUUUAACUGUCUGUGUGUUGUGGUGGACCAGGUAUUCUCUGUUUAACUGUCUGUGUGUUGUGGUGGAGCAGGUAUUCUCUGUUUAACUGUCUGUGUGUUGUGGUGGAGCAGGUAUUCUCUGUUUGCGGUGGUGAACCACCAGGGCACCCUGGAGAGUGGUCACUACACCAGCUUCAUCCGCCAACACAAGGACCAGUGGUUCAAGUGUGACGACGCCAUCAUCACAAAGGCCAGCAUCAAGGACGUGUUGGACAGUGAAGGGUAUCUGCUGUUCUAUCACAAGCAGUUCCUGGAGUAUGAGUAGCCUUACCUUGUAGACCGCUGACUCUGUGGAGAACCAACCAACCCAACGCUCAAAGAGAUGAGGAACCAACCAAUGACUGUGGAACAGAGGACGAUAAAACACGAACACACAAACCUACCUGAAACUCUGACUAUACCAGUUACUACUACCCCCCCCUGACAGGGGUGACAGUCUAACAUAAACAAUGACUAAUAGUGAAAAAUCAUGCAAAACUUGUUCAAAAACAGCACUGAGCUCCCGGCAUCUACUUGACACAACUGAAUGGAGAAAGAGAAUGAGGAAAAAUGGAGUGGAGUGGGUGGGAAGGAGCCCUCCCUCUCUCUCCCUCACUCCGCCCCUUUUCUGACGUUGGGGCGGAGCCUUGUCGAGAGUGAUUGACAGUUCUGUGGAGAGGAAGUAGGAGGGAAGAGGGCACAGUGGGACUCAAACCCCCAAAACUACAGUAUUGAUUUGUGAAUUCUUGUUUCUUUCCUCAUGGUGCUCUCGUUUCCACUGAAAAGCAUUUACCAUACAGAGACGAUGGGAGGAGACUGUCCAACGUCUUCAUAUGCAUACACAACUGAAUGCAAAAAAGAUAUAUACUUCAACAACAGAACAAAGUAUGGUAUUAUUUAAAAUAAAAUAGCAAACAAGAUUUAGUUAUGAUUCUUAUCAUUUGAAUUUAGUUUUGGAAUAUGCUGUAUGAUCCUCUAGUACAUCUAUUUUUUUAAAGAGGAAAAGUGAGAGAACUGAGAGCACGAGACGCCAUCCUUGCUAGUUUCCUGGUAAGCGUAGCCAAACAUGAAAAAUGGACUUGGAGCAAACUGAACGUACCCAUGUUCAAACUAUUUUUUUUGUUGAUUAUUUUCUUGUUUCAUUUUGGUUGAGGGAAUAUCUAUUUUUUUAUUUAGCGACUCGUUCAUUGAAAUUCUUUGUACCAUUUCUUUCCAGUGUCCACGUUAAUCUCAUCGUUCUGUUUUGUUGCGGUGCAGUAAUGUCCCUUCCUUGCUGUCAUGGUACCUUCAGAAGACAUUAUUUCGAUGUAGUAUUCUUGAUCGUGGAAAGUGUUGUUGGGUAUAUAAUGAUGGUGGUGAUUUAAAUUGGCUCACUUUUGGCUGUUGACAUUUUUCAGCUACAGGUUUCUUGUGGCAUUAUGAAGUAGAGGCAAUGUAUUCUCUGUAGCUUGGUCCCAGAUCUGUUUGUGCUGUCUUGCUAAAACUCUUAUAGUAGCUGGCAAGCCAUCACAAACAGAUCUGGGACCAGGCCAUGGCUAUCAGACUGCUGUGGGUCUUUUUAAAAGACCUCUGCAACACAGUAGGGUGGAUACCUGGGGCAAAUCGCUUGCUAUUCCCCAUAUACUGCAGGGACAAAUGUAGUUCUCUAGGGAAUAGUGGGCCAUUUCACACAUACCUCUAGAGUCUGUCAACUAAAGCGAUGUGCUAACGUAAGCCUACUGCAACACAGCUGUGCAGGUCUAGGGCAAAACUGAAAUGGCUCACUAUUCCCUAUAUAGUGCACUACUUUUUAAUUCUGUCCAAUAGUUGUGCACUACAUAGGGAAUAGUGUGCCAUUUUGGACGUCUCUGUCUUAAUGUCGCCUUGGGCAAUAAUACCUCGACGCCUACACCUCUUCUGUUACAAGACUCUGUUGACUGAUUUGUGUACUGUUGUUGGGGGGGAUAAAUGGCGAUGAUGAAGGAUUGCACGUACAUGGUGGCGCUGUCUGUUUGCUGCACACUCUCCAGCUUUGAAUCCAUCAGUGUUCUCUUAAUAUCCACAACAACAACCACAUGUGGCUUGUUUAGACCAAGGUUGUGUUCAUUAGGCAACAAAUAGAGAACUCUCAAACGGGGAGGGACUGCUUGGGCUUGUCCAAUGAGAAACGCUCAUUUAAAUGUUCCGUGGCAAAACGUUUUAAAACGUUAUCCAUUGCGUUUCCUGAUGUGCACGACCCAAUGUGUCUUGUGGUAGGUUGCCUCUGCAGUGCAGUAACACAGUGCUCUAUCCUAUCAGUAUGCUGUCUGAAUUCUGAGUCUAAAAAGAAAGAACAUAAAUGUGUUGUUGGGUAUUUUAUGUUUGAAUAUCACUGUGUAUGUAAAGUUUUAAAAAAGAAAUGUGGGAACAUGUAUACCACAUUGAUACCGCAACACUUUGGGUCUGGUCCAGCUGCUCGGGAAACAAACAAACAAUACAAAUAAAUAAAACAUAUCUAUCCUCUGGUCUGGAACAGAUAGUCCAUUAUUGAACCCUGAGCCAGAACAGAGAAAUCACACGUUUAAAUGGUUGCACCACCAAGGCUUCCGAUGAGAAGAGCGCCACCCAGAGGUCAUUCAGGAACGCAGCCCUAAAGUGUAAGAAGGUGAGAGGAGAGACAUUGUCCGUUUCAGUGAUUAAACUCAACAAAACUCA